AGCCUCGCAAUGAGCACAAAGCGAACUAUUCUUUCGCCUUUUACUAAAGAAUACCGUGUGUUCAUUGCUAAAAGAGGCAUACGCCAAUUUUUGGAGGGUUUUUCCUUUACUGGAU